rnacentral:misc_RNA from 1 species
GAUGAAGAACGUAGCGAAAUGCGAUAAGUAAUGUGAAUUGCAGAAUUCAGUGAAUCAUCGAAUCUUUGAACGCACAUUGCGCCCGCCAGUAUUCUGGCGGGCAUGCCUGUCUGAGCGUCAUUUCAACCCUCUUGCCCCUAGGGCGUGGUGUUGGGGAUCGGCCAAAGCCCGCGAGGGACGGCCGGCCCCUAAAUCUAGUGGCGGACCCGUCGUGGCCUCCUCUGCGAAGUAGUGAUAUUCCGCAUCGGAGAGCGAUGAGCCCCUGCCGUUAAACCCCCAACUUUCCAAGGUUGACCUCAGAUCAGGUAGGAAUACCCGCUGAACUUAAGCAUAUCAAUAAGCGGAGGA